GAUCCAGCCAGGGCUGCUGAAUCCUAACAACUCUGUGGAACUAGCACUCUCAGCCAGUCCAGAACAAGAGAAUGAUGUCCCUCUUCCUGUGCUCUUCACCUGGAGCAGAUGGAUCUGCCAGCCACCGACUACAAGCCUGGGGUCUGCCAACUGCCACCUGUGCACCUGGUUCCACAAGCCACCACUUUUUCCUGCCAUGACUCCUCUUCACCAGCCACCAACUCCGCCCUUACCGGUCUGGAUGAAUAGUUGUCGGACUUCCUACAGUUAAAUUUUUUCUACUCUGGUUGUUUUUUUGUUCCUAAAUUUUUGUUGUCCUUAAUUUUGGUUGUACAAGGGGGCACAGUGCGUCCACCUACACCUCCAUCUUGGCCGGAAGUCACAUUGAGCAUUUUUUCAUGUCUACAGGCCAUCUGUAUGUCUUCCUUAGAGAAUUGUCUACUCAAUUCCAUGCCCAUUUUUAAAAUUGGAUUGUUUGUCUUCCUGGUGUUGAGCUGUGAAAUUCUCUAUAUAUUUUGAAAAUUAACCCCUUAUCAGAUGCAUCACUGGCUAGCAUGCUCUCUCAUACAGUUGAGUUCCCUUUUCAUUUUGUUAAUGGUUUCUUUUGAGGUACAGAAGCUUUUGAGUUUGAUGCAGUCCCAUUUGUUUAUUUUACUUGUCCUAGGAGACACAUUGGCAAAUAUAUUGCUGUGAGAGAUGUCAGAGAUUUUACUGCCUGUGUUUUUUUCUAGGAUUUUUAUCAUUACAUGACUUAUAGUUAAGUCUUGUAUCCAUUUUGAGUUUAUUCUUGUGUAUGCUGUAAGGUGGUGGUCUAGUUUCAUUUUUCUUUGCAUGUACCUGUCAAAUUUUCCCAACACCAUUUAUUGAUGCAAAUUAAAACCCCAAUGAGUUAUCACCUCACAACUGCCAGAAAGGCUCUCAUCAAUAAAUCAACAAACAAGUCCUGGCAAGGGCAUAGACAAGAGGGAACCCUUGUGCUCUGUUGGGAGGAAUGCAGAUUGGUACAGCCACUGUAGAAAACUGUAAGGGGUUUUCUUAAACAAUUAAAAAUGGGUGUUCUGGCCAAGAUGGAGGCGUAGGUAGGAACCCUUCACUUCCUAGCACAACCAAAAGGAGCAUAGGAACCAAUCUAAAAACAAUAAACAAUAAGAAGUGCCAGAAAAUCAAACUGCAUGAAACUCCAAGAACCAAGGAAUUAAAGAAACAUUCAGCCAGACCAGCAGGAGAGACAGCCAGUUGGCAAGUACUGGGCAGAGAGUACCCACGGCAAUGAGGCGGACUGCGUGGCCAAGGCAGGGCUGGCUGAACGGAAACUAAGACUCAAAGUUGGCUGUAAAGUGCAGCGGGGGUUGCCACAGUAGGAGAAACUCCCAGUCUCACAGGAGAGUUUGUUGGAAAGUGCAGCUUUAGCAAAGCAAAUGAACUGCACUGUUCCCUCUCUGACCCCUCCCCAACAGCAAGGGCCACAAUGAAGCAAAGAAGGUUGCCUCACCCUGGUGGAUACCUAAGGUCAUGCCCCUUUACUACUUAACAGGUGCACGGAGACAAAAAUAUAUAGCCCAAAUUAAAGAACAGAUCAAAGCUUCAGAAAAAGAACUAAGCAACACUGGUAAUCAGGAUGCUCACAGACCUGAGUAAGCUUAGUCACAACAUGAAGGAAAAAAUGAAGGCUACCAAAAGUGAAAUACAGCAAAAUAGGGAACCAACAGUGACAGGAAGGAAACUGGGACUCAAAUCAAUGAUUUGGAGCAGAAGGAAGAAAUAAACAUCCAACCAGAACAGAAAGAAGAAACCAGAAUUCAAAAAAAAUUAGGAGCGGCCUAGGAACUGCUAGACAACUUGAAACAUUCCAAUAUCCGAAUCAUAGGGGUGCCAGAAGGAGAAGAACAACAGCAAGAAAUUGUAAAUUUAUUUGAACAAAUAAUGUACUUUAUUUGAACUGCACCAGUGUUGUUGUUCAAUACCUGGUCAGGGAACAUACAAGAAUCAACCAAUGAAUGCAUAAAUGAGUGGAACAACA